UACGGAGGGGGCUAGCGUUGUUCGGAAUUACUGGGCGUAAAGCGCACGUAGGCGGCUUUGUAAGUUAGAGGUGAAAGCCCGGGGCUCAACUCCGGAAUUGCCUUUAAGACUGCAUCGCUAGAAUUGUGGAGAGGUAAGUGGAAUUCCGAGUGUAGAGGUGAAAUUCGUAGAUAUUCGGAAGAACACCAGUGGCGAAGGCGGACUUACUGGACACAUAUUGACGCUGAGGUGCGAAAGCGUGGGGAGCAAACAGG
rnacentral:rRNA from 1 species